rnacentral:misc_RNA from 1 species
UUUGCCACUACUACUUCUAAUAGGUAAUAAACCCAUCUAGGUUAAUUUCCUUUUUUGUGUUUGGUUUAGAUAUCUUGAAUAGAUUGUUGUUUGAGUGACAUGUAUGUUAAUGUAGCCCCUAAAAUGCUCUCAGCUUUUGGGAAAAAUGUUGGCUAAAUUUGUAAUAUUCCUCUGGAAAUGAAUGGAAAGCUAACCCAUUUUACAAAUACCUGUACUUUUCUCUCUAGUCUUCCUUCUGCUUUUAAGCAUGGUAAGUUGAAAAAUCAGUUAGCAGCAAUACAUUAGAGUGAGGUUGUAGUUGUUAAGCAAAUUGUUAAUACUGCAAAGGCAAUUAAUUGGAACGUUGUAAUAAUUCCAUUUGUGCUUAAUGUUUUAGUUAUAAUUGCCUCUAAACCAGUAGGCCAGUGGUUAAGUGUCUAUCUUGUACUGCAAAAAGGCUAUGGAUACAUUUUGAUGUUCUCUUUCCCCUCCCCUUGAAUCAGAAACGUUUCAGUUAUCAUACGAUCCUUUGUCAUCCAUUUGUGUUUUUGGCAAUGGCGGUGACUUCAUUCAUUAUGCAUAUGAUGUUAAGUAGUAUAUUUCACAUCAAUACACAUGAAUCUUGGAUGACUUGAGUGGCAUUCUGUUUCUAGCUAUCAUAGUGAAGGAAACAUUGCUCUUGCUUUUGGCCUAACUCUUGUAUGUUUUAAUCCACUAGAGUUCCUUGCAAGCUGCUGCAAUUGCAACAUGCUUAUCCUUAGUGCUGGAUAAAGCAUCAUGUGUCUUUUGAUAUAUAAAAUUUUGGUAGAAAGGCCACAAAAAU